rnacentral:rRNA from 1 species
ACGCUCGACACCUACGGAAGGCAGCAGUCGGGAAUAUUGCGCAAUGGAGGAAACUCUGACGCAGUGACGCCGCGUGCAGGAAGAAGGUUUUCGGAUUGUAAACUGCUUUAGACAGGGAAGAAGAAGUGACAGUACCUGUAGAAUAAGCUCCGGCUAACUACGUGCCAACAGCCGCGGUAAUCUGAGCGGGCUGGCAAGGC